CGCAUCUGUGCAUGCAGCAUAUCAAUAAGCGGAGGAAAAGAAACUAACAAGGAUUCCCCUAGUAACGGCGAGUGAAGCGGGAAGAGCUCGAAUUUGAAAUCUUAAAGGGUUUCCCUUUACGAAUUGUAGUUUAAAGAAGUGUUUUCUGUUGAGGUUUUGGUAAAAGUUCUUUGGAAUAGGACAUCAUAGAGGGUGAGAAUCCCGUAUUUGACCUUUACUUUCAACUUUGUGAUACACUUUCAAAGAGUCGGAUUGUUUGGGAAUGCAGUCCAAAAUGGGUGGUAAAUUUCAUCUAAAGCUAAAUAUUGGCGAGAGACCGAUAGCGAACAAGUACCGUGAGGGAAAGAUGAAAAGAACUUUGAAAAGAGAGUUAAACAGUACGUGAAAUUGUCAAAAGGGAAGCGUUUGACACCAGUGUUGUUUUUCUGAAAAUCAAUUAAAGAACUGUUUAUGCUAAGCUGUUUAGACUUUAUCAGCUAUCUGUUUAGUUUUGAGCUUUUCUUUAAUGCACUUUUCAGUUAACAAGUCAACAUCAAUUUCUUUUGCUGUAAAAAAGCUUGAGGAAGGUGGCUUGAGAUUCGUCUUAAGUGUUUAUAGCCUCUUGCCUAUGCAGUCGGAGAGAUUGAGGUCUGCAGCGUAGAUCCUUCGGGGCUAAAUGCAUUUGUGCUAAGUUAUAGCAUUUUAUAGACAACUUGUUGACUAUGAUCUGUCUUGUAGCUUACUCGCUUAUGUUAUUUUACCUACGCUUAGGAUGUUGAACGCGCACAGAGUCUC
rnacentral:rRNA from 1 species